AUUUUUUUCUCUCUGCAAGUGAUUCCUUCUUUCCUUCUUCUUCCUUCUCUCUCUUCUGCUUUCUUCAUCCUCUGCCGCAGCUUCUACAGACAUUCACGUCUUCUACUUUCCAUUCCUCCUCCUUCCUAAUUUUUAGGUUUAGUGAUGUUAGCUUACGUGGAAGGGCUAAGAUUCGCCGGCGGUGGGGUUUCUGAUGGCUCCAGUGCGCCGCCUUCGUGACCCAAAAAGGAAGUCGGACACGGAUCCUAACCUUUUGACAAUGCAACUUGAAACUUGGAAAAUUGAACCAGGUAGGAAUUUCUUUGGUGAAAAACUAUUGUGUAGCUGUGGUGAGACCGAAUCGAUACCGAGUGUGAAGGUGCGUAUGUAGAGUUAUAUAAAGUUGUUAGCUUAGCUUGGUACAAGUUGUAUGGUUGGAACUGUUUGGGCAGGUUUGGGACUGCUUUGUUUUAUUCUGCUGGAUGAAUGAGAAAGUGCUUCUGAACUUAGCAAAUAUUGUUGGAGCCGGAGGAGUCUUGAGCCCCGUCAAAUUGAUAAAGCAGUGAAAGCUUAGAUGAACUUGAGAAAGCUUAUUUUCUUCAUCAUAUUUAGUUUUAUAACAAUGUAGAUGUGUUAUGAUCUAUCAAUUUGUCUUCUUUAUGAGAUUAGACUUGCUUCUAUGCAGGAUUCUCCGGUUGUGCCGAUUGGGAGGAGUCUAAGGACUGGUGUCCUUUUAAACACUGAGGACUGGUGUCAUGCGGGAAAACUAUUCGUUUCUGAUUUAAUGGUUUUAGGUUUUGUGUUUUUGUUGUCAAUAAACUUUAGUUUAUGAUUGUACAAAUAAAUA